UACGAAGGGAGCUAGCGUUGUUCGGAAUCACUGGGCGUAAAGCGCACGUAGGCGGACUUGUCAGUCAGGGGUGAAAUCCCGGAGCUCAACUUCGGAACUGCCUCUGAUACAGCAAGUCUCGAGUCCGGAAGAGGUGGGUGGAAUUCCUAGUGUAGAGGUGAAAUUCGUAGAUAUUAGGAAGAACACCGGUGGCGAAGGCGGCCCACUGGUCCGGUACUGACGCUGAGGUGCGAAAGCGUGGGGAGCAAACAGG
rnacentral:rRNA from 1 species